GGCGAUGUGGCUCUGAGGUAGGGCAUCCGCUUGGCACGCAGGAGGUCCCGGGUUCAAUUCCUGGAAUCUCCA
rnacentral:tRNA from 1 species